rnacentral:sRNA from 1 species
UUCUGGUCUUGACUGCCUAUGAGAGCCUUCCUGGUGGAAACAGAAUUGUGAGUCAGCUGUCAUCUCCAUGGUGAUUUUUUAAGGCUCAGUGCUGAACCAGAUUUCUUUUCAUUAUGGGAGUGAAAAUGAACUCAGCUGGUUUUCUCCCCGAUUCCUCUCCAUUUUCUCUUUUCAGACUUCUCCAACAUGUUCUUGUGCCUG